UCCUCCUUUUCUCAUCAGGAUCUUCAUUAGCUGCUCUUCUUCGACGGCCACUUGUAUUUUGGGUCUGUGGAGUUGUGUGAGCUGGAGACGCCUGUGACAAUAUGGAGAGCUUACGUGUGAGUGUGCAGAUGACCAGAAUGGUGAACGGUGAAAGCAACACACGUACCGGAGUCUCUGUAGUGGACGUGGCUGGCUGCUGCAAGGACUGUGGACGAGACUCUUCUGACUGGGCCCUAACCAAUCCACUGCCGUGGCCUUUUACAGUAUCACCAUUGGUAACUGGAGGGUGUUGCUGGGUCAAAGCAGCUUUUAAUCUCUGAAAUGCAAACACCAUUUUAAAAAAUGGUUCCUAUGUUAUAUGCAAAUCUAACUCUCGACAUACUCUUUGUUUAACCCAAAGACAGUGUUUGACAAGGAACACAUGAAUACACUGGCUUUUAUAUCGCAUUCAUUUCCUUACUCCCUGGACUACAAUAAACAUCAAGAUGACA